UACGUAGGGAGCAAGCGUUGUCCGGAAUCAUUGGGCGUAAAGCGCGCGUAGGUGGCUUCGUAAGUCCGUUGUGAAAGUCAAAGGCUCAACCUUUGAAAGCCGAUGGAUACUGCGGAGCUAGAGUACGGAAGAGGCGAGUGGAAUUCCCAGUGUAGAGGUGAAAUUCGUAGAUAUUGGGAAGAACACCGGUGGCGAAGGCGGCGACCUGGUCCGAUACUGACGCUGAGGCGCGAAAGCGUGGGGAGCAAACAGG
rnacentral:rRNA from 1 species